ACGGGUGAGUAACACGUAUCCAACCUGCCGUCUACUCUUGGACAGCCUUCUGAAAGGAAAGAUUAAUACAAGAUGGCAUCAUGAGUCCGCAUGUUCACAUGAUUAAAGGUAUUCCGGUAGACGAUGGGGAUGCGUUCCAUUAGAUAGUAGGCGGGGUAACGGCCCACCUAGUCUUCGAUGGAUAGGGGUUCUGAGAGGAAGGUCCCCCACAUUGGAACUGAGACACGGUCCAA
rnacentral:rRNA from 1 species